AAAAAAAAAAAAAAGGGAAAGGGAAGUGAAUUAAGCAAAAUCAAACCUCAAAUCCUUGUCCAACUCUAAUACAUCAUAAUUAAGUUAAGCCACUAAUUACAAACCCAAGUUUACCAAUAUUGAACAAAAAUGAGUUUUCUUACAUCUUGGAACUGAAUAGAAGAAAUGAAGAACCUUGUACUUGAGUCCAUAUUUCAUCUUCUUCGAUAAUCUCUUUUUUUCCUUCUUAUUUUCUUUCCCCUUUCCUUUCUCUAUCUCUUCUUUCCUUUUCUCUAACUCUUUC
rnacentral:lncRNA from 1 species